AUGUCAAUCGUCCCAAUCAACGAGCAACGAGGCAGUGACUUCGACCCUUCCUUGGAUCUUGACCUGUGGGACCCAUUCACAGAUUUCCCUUUCCCAUUCCCUUCCUCAAUCUCCAACGUUUUCCGGGAAUUCAAUCUGGGUUCUUCGGUAAACUCAAGACUAGAUUGGAGAGAGACCCGAAAUGCCCACAUCCUAAAGGCGGCUCUUCCUGCGUUCAUGAACGAGGACGUGCUUGUGGAGCUUCAAGACGAGCGUGUGCUUCAGAUCAGUACAGACAGCGGUAGCUUCAUGACAAAGUUUAAGCUUCCGGACAACGCCAAGAUUGAGCAGCUUAAGGCCUUCAUGAGCAAUGGGGUUCUCACUGUCACUGUUCCUAAGGAGGAGCCCAGCAGACCCAAUAUCAGAGCCAUUGAAAUUUCUGGCGAAGAUUAA
rnacentral:lncRNA from 1 species